GUUUUUCGUGUAGAGCAUGAUUUCCAUGCAUUGCUUAUGGCUGAUGGAUCGAUCUUGUUGAUGGGCUUAACAUCAGAAGUUUUGUUCGUAUAAAUCGUAAUGGCUUCAGCAACUCUUCUCUUUUUAAGGUCUUCUUGUUCCCAUAUUAGUUUGGCAUCAUUCCAUUCUAUGGAUAAAUCAGUUAUUUGGACCCUUUAUGCCAAGGCUGUAGAGUCUCUUCUUUUUUCAAUGUCUUUAUUGUGUUCAUCCAAUCAUUUAGGCCAGUGGUCUCCAAACUACGGCCCGCGGGCCAGAUGCGGCCCGCGGACAGAUUUUGUCCGAC
rnacentral:lncRNA from 1 species